rnacentral:rRNA from 1 species
AUACGUAGGGGACGAGCGUUGUCCGGAAUUACUGGGCGUAAAGGGCGCGCAGGCGGAUAUUUAAGUCAGCUGUAAAAGGCAUGAGCUCAACUCAUGUAUGCGGUUGAAACUGGGUAUCUAGAGUGCUGGAGAGGUAGGCGGAAUUCCCGGUGUAGCGGGGAAAUGCGUAGAUAUCGGGAAGAACACCAGUGGCGAAGGCGGCUUACUGGCCAGCAACUGACGCUGAGGCGCGAAAGCCAGGGGAGCGAACGGGAUUAGAUACCCCGGUAGUCCUGGCCGUAAACGAUGAAUGCUAGGUGUGGGUGUCGAGAGGCAUCCGUGCCGGAGUUAACGCGAUAAGCAUUCCGCCUGGGGAGUACGAUCGCAAGAUUGAAACUCAAAGGAAUUGACGGGG